AGAGCGAACGCUGGCGGCAGGCCUAACACAUGCAAGUCGAGCGCCCGUAGCAAUACGGGAGCGGCAGACGGGAUAGUAACACGUGGGAACGCGCCCUUCGGUUCGGAAUAACUCAGGGAAACUUGAGCUAAUACCGGAUACGCCCUUACGGGGAAAGAUUUAUUGCCGAAGGAACGGCCCGCGUCCGAUUAGCUAGUUGGUGAGGUAAUGGCUCACCAAGGCGACGAUCGGUAGCUGGUCUGAGAGGAUGACCAGCAUCACUGGGACUGAGACACGGCCCAGACUCCUACGGGAGGCAGCAGUGGGGAAUAUUGGACAAUGGGCGCAAGCCUGAUCCAGCCAUGCCGCGUGGAUGAUGAAGGCCUUAGGGUUGUAAACCCCUUUCAGGAGGGACGAAGGUUCACCGGUUAAUAGCCGUGUGGAUUGACGGUACCUCCACAAGAGCACCGGCUAACUACGCGCCAGCAGCCGCGGUAA
rnacentral:rRNA from 1 species